rnacentral:rRNA from 1 species
AUUGAACGCUGGCGGCAUGCCUAACACAUGCAAGUCGAACGGUAGCAGGCCUUCGGGCGCUGACGAGUGGCGGACGGGUGAGUAAUGCAUAGGAAUCUGCCUCGUAGUGGGGGAUAACUUAGGGAAACUUAAGCUAAUACCGCAUACGCCCUGAGGGGGAAAGCGGGGGACCGUAAGGCCUCGUGCUAUGAGAUGAGCCUAUGUUGGAUUAGCUAGUUGGUGGGGGAAAGGCCUACCAAGGCGACGAUCCAUAGCUGGCCUGAGAGGGUGGCCAGCCACACUGGGACUGAGACACGGCCCAGACUCCUACGGGAGGCAGCAGUGGGGAAUAUUGGACAAUGGGGGAAACCCUGUUCCAGCAAUGCCGCGUGUGUGAAGAAGGCCUGAGGGUUGUAAAGCACUUUCAGUGGGGAGGAAAAAGAGCUGGCUAAUACCUGGUUUAUUGACAUUACCCACAGAAGAAGCACCGGCUAACUCCGUGCCAGCCGCCGCAGUAAGAC